AUUGAACGCUGGCGGCAGGCUUAACACAUGCAAGUCGAGCGAGCGGCGGAGGGGUGAGUAAUGUCUGGAAAACUGCCUGAUGGAGGGGGCUAACGACUGGAAACGGUAGCUAAUACCGCAUACCAUCAGAUCUGCCCAGAUGGGAUUAGCUAGUAGGUGGGGUAAUGGCUCACCUAGGCGACGAUCCCUAGCUGGCCUGCGAGGAUGACCAGCCACACUGGAACUGAGACACGGUCCAGACUCCUACGGGAGGCAGCAGUGGGGAAUAUUGCGCAAUGGGCGCAAGCCUGAUCCAGCCAUGCCGCGUGUGUGAAGAAGGUCUUCGGGUUGUAAAGCACUUUCAGCGAGGAGGCGUUACUCGCAGAAGAAGCACCGGCUAACUACGUGCCAGCCGCCGCGGUAAUUC
rnacentral:rRNA from 1 species